rnacentral:rRNA from 1 species
UUGAAUUGAAGAGUUUGAUCAUGGCUCAGAUUGAACGCUGGCGGCAGGCUUAACACAUGCAAGUCGGACGGUAGCAGGAGAAAGCUUGCUUUCUUGCUGACGAGUGG